rfam:Candida tropicalis MYA-3404 genomic scaffold supercont3.3, whole genome shotgun sequence.
GUUCGCCUGGCGCAGUUGGUAGCGCUUCGUGCUUAUAGAUUUGAAAACUAUGCGAAAUGCACAGUCGUUGAGACGCGACGGUCGUGGGUUCGAUCCCCUCGGUGAACA